GCCCGGCUAGCUCAAUCGGUAGAGCGUGAGACUCUUAAGGAGUACUCCGAAUAAUAAUAUCUCAAGGUUGUGGGUUCGACCCCCACGUCGGGCU